CAAACUGUUUCCAAACACAUAGAACACGAAUAGGAUUCGUAGAGUUUUGAUUCAUUUUGUAUACAAUUAUUUCUUAUAAUUAGUUUUCCUCUUCUAGUUUACAUCAAAAAUGGAAAAAUUGCCAAUCGUGAUUAUUUAUUUCGCAUACUCAUUUCUUUUUUUAUCUCGAUGUAAGCAGCCAUACAGGAGGCAUAAGACACACUGCCAAUGCCCAGGGCCAUAGAUGUAUUAAAUGUCCCCAUUUGGAAUGCCAUAAGAACGGCUCCUUUUUCGCUUCCUUUGACAAUAGGGAUCAAGUAAAGGUAGUACACCAAGAAGACGAUGAACCUGAUGAUCCAGUGAGUGAAUGCUUAUCUCCGCGUGUAAAAGUAAAUGGUACUCUGAACGAUGUUGUAUGCUCUGCCGAAAGAAACCUAUGUUUCGUAGUUUGUGCCAAAUCCAGAAAGGAAGAUGACAAAGCAUUGUGCGCUAAGUGCGCCGAACGCUGUGAAUGCAAAGUACCUAAUAAUGGCAGAAAGGGGUAUACAGCAAACGGCCUUCUAUAUAUACUUAUACCAGUAUGUUUGGUAGCAUUUUACAUUUUGGUGUAGGCGAUGCAAAUGUACACAUGUUUACGAAGGUAGAUCGGGCAGGGUACAUGGUAUAGCCUGGUCGGGUAUACCGAAUAGAGCCCUAGUUUUUACACUCUGCUCUCAAAGGAAAGCAAGUAAAAAACUUUAAUCGGGAUGGCCGACUAGGAGAUAUCAUGAACUUUGUCCGAUCUGCGUUUUUAAACUGUUUAUUUGGCUGUUUGUAGGUCUAAAAAAAAAAAAAAAAAAAAAAAAAAUAGUACGAAACUAAAUUGAAUCCGUUUCACAAUAAAACGAAUUUAGUAAACAAAAAGUAAUA